GUGUUUACUUCGGCAGCACAUGUACUAAAAUUGGAAUGAUACAGAGAAGAUUAGCAUGGCCCCCGCGCAAAGAUGAUAUGCAAAUUCGUGAAAUGUUUCAUAUUUUU